UAUGGCAUCUAUUUGGUAAUUAAGAAAACUAUUUGGCCUUAUAGCCAAUUUUCAUAACUUAUAGUUGAGAUAGGAAUUGACGUGUAUAUCGUCAAUUCACAAUCCUCCUUUGGCAGCCACGUUUCUUCUCUUCACCCCAGCUCUUCUCUCACCGUCUCUCUCUUUCUCUCUAUCUUCCUCCCUCUCUCUCUAUAUUCCUCUCUUCCUCUAUCGGCUCUUGGGCUGGAAUUGCAGAAAUUUUACAGCAAAACUCGAGUAAUAUGAGAGGAUUCUUAAUUCACCAAGUUUAGGUUUGAAGAAUUGAAAUAUUUAAAGAAGAAAGCCCCAAAUUAAUUAUUCAAUGGAAGUGGCGUCUGAUUGGGAGGUGCCGUUGGAAAUCUCAAGAUGCAGCUUCCUUGUGGUGAUGGAUUUCACCGGCGAUGACGCGCGGUGGUGGUCGGAAAGGGUCGAAGAAGACGAGCAGUCCAGAACCCGAAUUUCAGCGGUUGGUCGUUCAAAGAAUUAAUUGAACGGAGGCCUUAAGGGUAGAAUCUCGAAGAUCAGGUCCCAUCAUUAGAAACCUUACGAUGUUACCUUUCUGUUGGUGGUGAAGCUCGAUGGCUUGCACCGACGUUGGUCACCGGAGUUUGGUGAGAAGUCGGCCUGCUCGCUGCGAUUUUGGGGAAGCAAAAUCUGCUGCCGCACCUGUUUUCGGAGCCGAAAUCGAAGGGUUUCGAAUGCGAAUUUGGAAUCGGUUCCUUCAGGAAACUCGUAGACGACAUCGUAAACUAUAAGUAAGUGUUCAAUUGUAUCGAAUUAGAAUAUUAAAUAUACGUGUUUUAGAGGUCGGAAUCCGAUAACAGUAAUCUGCCGGAAACAGGGCAGUUUUGAGUAUCUUCUUGCGGGACUGUUUUCGAUAUGUUGGGAUCAUAAUUUGGGCUGUGCGUCUUCAUGAAACUUGUAGAUUAAACUUCCAGGUUUCAUUUGAUGUAUUAUUUGGACAAUUUGGAUAACUGUACAAUGUUUUAUGAUUUUUCAAACGGGCUGUGACAGUAAACGAAAUUAUCCGAAAAUCCGGC
rnacentral:lncRNA from 1 species